UGGUGGAGUGAUUUGUCUGGUUAAUUCCGUUAACGAACGAGACCCCCGCCUGCUAAAUAGUCUUGCUUACAAUUUUUGUAGGUGAAGACUUCUUAGAGGGACUUUUGGUCGAUUAGCCAAAGGAAGUUGGGGGCGAAUAACA
rnacentral:rRNA from 1 species